rnacentral:misc_RNA from 1 species
GUAGGUGAACCUGCGGAAGGAUCAUUAAACAUCAUCGGGGAGUUGGAUCCAGAUUGUGGGGCUUCGGUCUCGCUUUCUGCCCUUCUCUUACUGAUUAUACCCAUGUCUUUUGCGUACUAUUUGUUUCCUUGGUGGGCUUGCCUGCCGCUAGGACCUCAUUCCCCCUUUUUUCCUUUCCUUCCUCGUCAUCCCCCCCUCCUCCUUC